rnacentral:lncRNA from 1 species
UAGCAAUGACGAUGCAACAGAUCAGUGAUGGAGAUUAGCGAAGGACAAUAUUUUUUGCUAAUUCCAUCGCUAUAUUUGGCACCACUGUAUAGUGGGACAGCUAACGAUGGAAUUGGGGACCAAUAACGAUAAAAAUGUUGAUCCGUCGCUACUCAAGCGGGGUUAUGGUUUUGAGCUCCAUUUAGCUAUGAAUUUAUAUUCGUUGCUCAUCUAAAUUCGUUGCUCAUCUGUGACUAAUUAAAUGCAUCAUUUAACUUAUUCCUAGUUUAGUGACAGAUUAGUCCGUCGCUAAUCCAUCGCUAAAUUGGAAAUAACACUAUGAUGCAG